UACAGAGGUGGCAAGCGUUGUUCGGAAUUACUGGGCGUAAAGCGCGCGUAGGCGGGGGGUUAAGUGAGAGGUGAAAGGCUGGGGCUCAACCUCAUGCAGUGCCUCUCAUACUGGCCUUCUUGAGGGCGGUAGGGAGAAGUGGAAUGGCUGGUGUAGCGGUGAAAUGCGUAGAUAUCGUCAAGAACACCGAUAGUGUAGACAGCUAACUAAGCUUUAACUGACGCUGAGGCACGAAAGUGUGGGGAUCAAACAGG
rnacentral:rRNA from 1 species